GAUGAACGCUGGCGGCGUGCCUAAUACAUGCAAGUCGAGCGAACAGACGAGGAGCUUGCUCCACUGACGUUAGCGGCGGAAGGGUGAGUAACACGUGGAUAACCUACCUAUAAGACUGGGAUAACUUCGGGAAACCGGAGCUAAUACCGGAUAAUAUAUUGAACCGCAUGGUUCAAUAGUGAAAGACGGUUUUGCUGUCACUUAUAGAUGGAUCCGCGCCGCAUUAGCUAGUUGGUAAGGUAACGGCUUACCAAGGCAACGAUGCGUAGCCGACCUGAGAGGGUGAUCGGCCACACUGGGACUGAGACACGGUCCAGACUCCUACGGGAGGCAGCAGUAGGGAAUCUUCCGCAAUGGGCGAAAGCCUGACGGAGCAACGCCGCGUGAGUGAUGAAGGUCUUCGGAUCGUAAAACUCUGUUAUUAGGGAAGAACGAAUGUGUAAGUAACUAUGCACGUCUUGACGGUACCUGAUCAGAAAGCCACGGCUAACUACGUG
rnacentral:rRNA from 1 species